rnacentral:rRNA from 1 species
CCUACGGGAGACAGCAGUGAGGAAUAUUGGGCAAUGGACGCAAGUCUGAACCAGCCAUGCCGCGUGCAGGAAGACGGCUCUAUGAGUUGUAAACUGCUUUUGUACGAGGGUAAACGCAGAUACGCGUAUCUGUCUGAAAGUAUCGUACGAAUAAGGAUCGGCUAACCCCGUGCCAGCAGCCGCGGUAAUACGGAGGAUUCAAGCGUUAUCCGGAUUUAUUGGGUUUAAAGGGUGCGUAGGCGGUCGGAUAAGUUAGAGGUGAAAUCCCGGGGCUCAACUUCGGAAUUGCCUCUGAUACUGUUCGGCUAGAGAGUAUGUGCGGUAGGUGGAAUGUAUGGUGUAGCGGUGAAAUGCUUAGAGAUCAUACAGAACACCGAUUGCGAAGGCAGCUUACUAAGCUACUUCUGACGUUGAGGCACGAAAGCGUGGGGAGCAAACAGGAUUAGAUACCCGAGUAGUC